CCCCAUUUCCAAAAUUUCCACCAUUUUCAUUCACUCUCUCUUCUCUUUCCCUUCUCCUUUUUAACUUCAAUUCUCUCUUCUCUCUCUCGGUUUUUCUUUUCAGACCUUACCAAUCUAUCCAACCCCCCGCUCAGUAUGGUAUUGAAGGACGAGUGGUUUUGUGCCGCCAUGGCCGAUGACAGCGUCGUCGUUGAGUUACUCGUCCGUCUCAAGCAGUCUCAAGCCUCCUCCUCCAUUAAGUCUCCCGUUAUUCCCCCCAGAUGGGGUCUCAGGCAACGCCGUUCCAGGAUUCUUUCCCCUUUCCGAUUCGAUGCCGUUGCUCACAAGAAUAAGGACUCUACCUCCACCAGAUGCAGCCCCACCACCCCUCUCUCUUGGAGUGGCGAUACAUCCCCCUCUGCUACCGCCGAUGGAUUCGAAGAGUCCAGUCAUCCAUCCGAAUUCUCCCUCUCCUCCAGAUCCAAGGGUUGCGGUAUUAAUGAAUUCAGUUCUAGCACUGCCAUGGCCAAGAGGUUAAAAAGAAGGAAGGCAUUGGCUGAUCUGAGAGUGGAGGAGUCUUUACUUUUGAAGGAAAGGGUACAUCUCAAAAAGGAGUUGGAAAGCUUACAUGCGACAUUCAAGGAACAGACGACUAACAAUGAGAAGUUGAAGAAAAUGAAGCUCAAUAUGAAUUUCAAUACAUCAUUGGAUCACCUUCGGGACAUGUCAAAGCCAGUAGCUUCAAAUCAACAGUGCCAAAGGGCGGAUCCUACAACUGAAAGUGUUCCUGCAACUUUGCCGAUACAAACCGUACCUGGAAACAGUUCACAAUCAGAAUCAAACAACAGACAGGAGAUAAAUUCAAUGGAAAGUGGUGGUUUCUUUCUACCAGAUCUUAAUAUGAUCCCAGCUGAGGACUGUCUCUGAGUCUCUCAUUGAUCAUGAGCUGAAGACGUGUUUCGACUCUUCAAGGACAUUACUUCACGAUAAACGACUUGUCCCGAUGCCAAAUGAAGAAUAAUUUACUGAGGAGAUCGUUUUUCCCUAAGAUGAUUCUUGAGGUCAUAAAGGAGAUUUGACAGAGUCAAGAGAAUUUCGAAACUGGGGAGUUCCUUCUGUUGCUGUUUCGAAAUUCUUUGGAGUAGAAUACCUUAUUGAAAUUCAUUUCAAUAUUGUAGGAUCAAACCUGUUUGAUUCUUUGUAGGAAAAGCCAUCUAACUGACAUUGUUAACUAUCAAUCUUCUCGAGCUGCUGCUGCUGCUGUUAACAUUUUGAUAGAGCAAACCUUUUGUAAUGGUUUCUUUUAACAUAUUUGAUUUGAUUUUUGUUCUUUCAUUUUCUAAA